rnacentral:rRNA from 1 species
GUGGGGAAUCUUCCGCAAUGGACGAAAGUCUGACGGAGCAACGCCGCGUGAGUGAAGAAGGUUUUCGGAUCGUAAAGCUCUUUCGUUAGGGACGAACGUGCUCUUUGUGAAUAAUGAGGAGUAAUGACGGUACCUAAAUAAGAAGCCACGGCUAACUACGUGCCAGCAGCCGCGGUAAUACGUAGGUGGCAAGCGUUGUCCGGAAUUAUUGGGCGUAAAGCGCGCGCAGGCGGGAUAUCAAGUCUGUCUUAAAAGUGCGAGGCUCAACCUCGUGAGGGGACAGAAACUGGUAUUCUUGAGUGUCGGAGAGGAAAGUGGAAUUCCAAGUGUAGCGGUGAAAUGCGUAGAGAUUUGGAAGAACACCAGUGGCGAAGGCGACUUUCUGGACGAUGUCUGACGCUGAGGCGCGAAAGCUAGGGGAGCGAACGUGAUUAGAUACCCGUGUAGUCC